UACGUAGGGUGCGAGCGUUAAUCGGAAUUACUGGGCGUAAAGCGUGCGUAGGCGGUUCGUUAAGUCAGUUGUGAAAGCCCCGGGCUCAACCUGGGAAUUGCGGUUGAAACUGGCGAACUAGAAUCUGGCAGAGGGGGGGUGGAAUUCCACGUGUAGCAGUGAAAUGCGUAGAGAUGUGGAGGAAUACCGAUGGCGAAGGCAGCCCCCUGGGAUAACACUGACGCUCAUGCACGAAAGCGUAGGGGA
rnacentral:rRNA from 1 species